UAACAAGGAUUCCCCUAGUAACUGCGAGUGAAGCGGGAAAAGCUCAAAUUUAAAAUCUGGCAGCUUUGGCUGUCCGAGUUGUAGUCUGGAGAAGCGUUUUCUGUGCUGGACCGUGUACAAGUCUCUUGGAAUAGAGCGUCAUAGAGGGUGAGAAUCCCGUCUUUGACACGGACUGCCAGUGCUUUGUGAUGCGCUCUCAAAGAGUCGAGUUGUUUGGGAAUGCAGCUCAAAAUGGGUGGUAAAUUCCAUCUAAAGCUAAAUAUUGGCGAGAGACCGAUAGCGAACAAGUACCGUGAGGGAAAGAUGAAAAGCACUUUGGAAAGAGAGUUAAACAGUACGUGAAAUUGUUGAAAGGGAAACGAUUGAAGUCAGUCGCGUCUUCUAGAACUCAGCCUGGCUUUUGCUUGGUGCAUUUUCUAGUUGACGGGCCAGCAUCAGUUUCGACCGCUGGAUAAAGGCUUUGGGAAUGUGGCACCCUCGGGUGUGUUAUAGCCCAGAGUCACAUACAGCGGUUGGGACUGAGGAUCACAGCAUGCCUUUUGGCCGGGGUUCGCCCACGUUCAUGCUUAGGAUGCUGGCGUAAUGGCUUUAAACGAC
rnacentral:rRNA from 1 species